UUUUUUUUUUUUUUCCUUUCUUUUUAGAGCCAUACUCAGGGCUUAAGGUAGUUCAGAUCUGAGCCAUAUCUGCAACCUAUACCACAGCUCAAGGCAACAGCGGAUCCCUAACCCACUGAGUGAGGCCAGGGAUUGAAACUGCGUCCACAUGGAGGUUAGUCAGAUUCAUUUCUGCUGAGCCACGACGGGAACUCCAAGAGCAGCCAUGCUCUUGACUGAGUGCGUCCAGGUAUAUGCACCCUGGAGCCCCCGUCCCACCCAUUCAGGCACUUUCGUUGCCCUUUGUCCUUUGGGGGUCAGUUCAGAUACUGCAGGACUGGGCAAUGGCAGUCUGGCCCUCUGGACCCGGCUCUGUCUGAGGGAGAAUCUGUUUGUUUGAAAUCUGUUCAGGAGAAGAAAGCGAGGUGAAGUGGGGGUGGACCUCCAUCCCUUCCAGAAGUCCCCUGGGACACGUCUGAGCAGAUUGGCACGAUCCUAGCUAUAAGCCCAUGACCAAGACAAAAGGAGUGAACGAGUAUUUACUGUAAUAUAGCCUGGCCAAGGUAUGUUUUGCCUUCGGAAGAAUGCUGGCCCCUGAAAGGGUCUCGCAGUUCCUAUUUUGCAGUUAGAAUGGGUAAGUGGGAGGAGAUUCCAUAGGUGCAGGCUUUCCUGCUGCUCCACAAAAAGGAUUCUUCCAACAAGGACAGGAAAUUACUUAUGCAAAUGUGAGAAGCCUGCUCCCCUUCCAAAGGCCUCUUUGCUGUCAAGCGAGGAUGAGAGUGGGUCUGAACUUCCAGGGGACUGAACCUGCUGUGUUUUCUCUCCCAGGGCCUGAUGGGGCUGCCUGGGUCUCUGGCCUCCCAUGGCCCGUCUCUGGGAGGAGGAGGACUCCUGGGGAACCUGGCGGAGGCUGACCACUCCCCUGUGUGUGGGGAAGCAAGACCUACCCAGCUGGAAAAAGCCAGGCUUCUGUACUGAGAUGAUCCACAAAAAAUGGUGGAAAUGGUCCUUCGCGUUGUUUUUCACACCACUGCCCAAGCUGGACCCGUGUGCAGGCAUUGGUGAGUACAGGCUGACAGCCCAAGAACAGCCCUGGGUUCUAGACAAAGCCUGGGAGGAAGCGGGUUGCCUCCACCAGGAGGAUGCGGCCAACACCUGCUCCCCUGGGAUGCCCUGAACGGCUCCACAUCACACGUCAUCCAGACGCAACACCCUUGUUCAUCUCCAAUCCCUGCUUCCCAGCUUGGAAGCUGCUAACCAGUCUCCCAGGCCAGACACAUGCCCCCUCAGCUGGUACUACUCCCAGAUCUUUCCAGACCCCCACCUGGACGGCAGCUUUGGGGCUCAGCAGCCAGACUUCAUGUCCACGGAGUCUGCGUUUCCUCCAUGAGGCUCCACCUUGGAGUAAUGGGCUUGGGGUCUCCUUCCCAAACCGGGGAGAGGCACAUGUCCAGGCAAACCUGGGGGGAAGGGAGCAAACCGGUUCCCCCUGCCAUGUCAUCUUGUCCCCACUGCCUUGCUCUCCCCUAGGGCCUCUCCCUGCUCACCUCUGCACCUGCCCUCCUCUGGGUGGGGCUGUGUCCCCUCAGGUGGCAUCUCCUUCUAGGGGUGGCUGCAGGGAGGAGAGGCCAGACCCCUUCAGGGUUUCUGUGAAGGAGGCCGUGGCCCUGAGGUGGGUCCUGGAUUCCCAGAGCCCCAAGCUUUGGUCCUGGGCUCCCACCCAUGGGCCCUGCUGCAAUGCUGGGCUGGAGAGCACAGGGCUCAAACCCACAGCUUUGGCACAGUUGUCUGGGUUCCCACUCCUAGUCAUGGGUUUUAGGGAAACACUAAAUCCCUGAGCCUUGGUGUCCUCAUCUGUAAAAUGGCGUUAGUAGCACAAGCCACAGUCCCUUUCUAAAACCAUUGGUUCAUACUCCAGAAUUCAGAAAUUUUCAGCCUCACCAGGUGACAUGGUACAUCUACUCAAUUUAACACGACACCCACUGGUGUCUGAAAAUACCUUGUAGUGAAGCACAGUAAUCUUUCUGCAACUGCACUUUUGUUGUUGUUGUUGUUUAUUAAGUUAUUUUUAUUUUGUUCCCUGAUAGCUGGUUGACAGUGUUCUGUCAGUUUUCUACUGCACAGCAAAGUGACCCAAUUACACAUACAUAUAGGCACUCUUUUUUCUCACCUUAUCACGCUCCAUCAUAAGUUGCAGCUGUACUUCUGAACAUUCAUACCAAGUGAAAGAAAUAAAGACCAUGAAGUAUUUCA
rnacentral:lncRNA from 1 species